CCUACGGGCGACAGCAGUGAGGAAUAUUGGUCAAUGGGCGCGAGCCUGAACCAGCCAAGUAGCGUGAAGGAUGACUGCCCUACGGGUUGUAAACUUCUUUUAUACAGGAAUAAAGUUAGGCACGUGUGCCUUUUUGUAUGUACUUUAUGAAUAAGGCUCGUCUAACUCCGUGCAAGCAGCCGCGGUAAUACGGCGGAUCCGAGCGUUAUCCGGAUUUAUUGGGUUUAACGGGAGCGUAGAUGGGUUGUUAAGUCAGUUGUGAAAGUUUGCGGCUCAACCGUAAAAUUGCAAUUGAUACUGGCAGCCUUGAGUACAGAUGAGGUAGGCGGAAUUCGUGGUGUAGCGGUGAAAUGCUUAGAGAUCACGAAGAACUCCGAUUGCGAAGGCAGCCUACUAAACUGCCACUGACAUUGAUGCUCGAAAGUGUGGGUAUCAAACAGGAUUAGAUACCCUAGUAGUC
rnacentral:rRNA from 1 species